CAGGCACUUUGGUGGCAUCGCUACAGAUUUCCUGCCACCCAGGCAGCUUGGAUUUUAGGAAGUCCGCACACUGCAUCCAAGUUUAAAAGCUCAGCCUGAGACUUCUCUAAAGAAUCUAAUUUGCUUCUGUGUUCAGUUUGGUACCUCUUUAAAGUUGCCUGCAAUCAAAGCAUUUAAAACAUCUCAUGAUGCACUCAGCCAUGUAACUGGACUCCCCACAUGCUGUGCAUCAGGCAGAAGCCAUUUUAUGCUGGAACCUCCUUACUGCCACUGGUAAUCCACAGGCACUGCUCUCAGGCUUAUUUCUUUGCCAACAGACAUAUCUGGGGGUGGCGGUGAAGAAAAAACUAUGAUUGCUAAGCAUCAGCUGAGAGAGAACGGCCUCCUGCCUGUUACACUAGCCCCAGCACCUUGCGAUUGUACUAUGUUUGGGUACAGCAUACAUCUGAAAAGUCUGUGGAUGGAUGAAAAAUAGAAGACUUGGAAGAGGAGAGAAAAGGAUGGAAGGGAGAAGAAACUGAGCACUUAAGAUCAACAAACUGGAAAAAAAAAAAGGUAAACUAUUUCAAUAAGGGUAAAAAGGAAUCUGGCUGUUUAUAAUACAAGAAGAUGUCAAGUAUGUGAUCAAAGCUUGCACAGAUCCUUCUUUUAUGGUAGGUGAUGGUGAAAUAAGAAUAAAAGAAAAACAUUUAUCCACUACUUGUUUCAUAAGGUCAGACAAUAACAAGAACUUUCUGACAAUGGUUCAAGAUUUGAGUUCUUCCCUGCCCUGCCCCUCGCUGAAAAAAAAAAAUAAAAAAAAAAAUGCUGGGAAAAGGAAAACAAGAAAAGAAAUUCACCAGAUAUCUGAUUAGGGGAAGACUAAGCACUUCAUUAAUCUUUUCUAAGUUACAGAUAGCAUUUAGGGAAAUCAGUUACGGUUUUUUUUGUUGGGCUUUUGUUUGUUUGUUUGAAAAUGCUGCCUUUUGUUGUGCAAAGUCAUAGUUCUUUCAGAAAGAAAAUGAAAAUGAUGACCUUAUUUAAAUAGAAGCAGUUAAAAAAAAAAAAAAUCUACUGCAGCUGCUUUGGCC